rfam:Triticum aestivum genome assembly, contig: Triticum_aestivum_CS42_TGACv1_scaffold_569828_7AS
CAUCUACUCCCUCCGUUCCGAAUUACUUGUCUUGGAUUUGUCUAAAUACGGAUGUAUCUUGACUCAUUUUAGUGCUAGAUACCUCUGUAUCUAGACAACUCUACGACAAGUAUUUCGGAACGGAGGGAGUAUAUA